rnacentral:rRNA from 1 species
CCUACGGGGGGCAGCAGUGGGGAAUUUUCGACAAUGGGGGAAACCCUGAUGCAGCGAUGCCGCGUGAGUGAAGAAGUCCUUCGGUACGUAAAGCUCUAUUAGCAGGGAAGAAAAUCACGGUACCUGACUAAGCACUCCCGGCUAACUCCGUGCCAGCAGCUGCGGUCAUACGGCGGGGGCAAGCGUUAUCCGGUAUUACUGGGUGGAACGGGAGCGGAGACGGCAGCGCAUGUCUGGAGUGAAAUCCCGGGGCUUAACCCCGGAACUGCUUUGGAAACUGUGGGGCUGGAGAGCAGGAGAGGGAGGCGGAAUUCCAAGUGUAGCGGUAAAAUGCGUAGAUAUAAGGAGGAACACCAGUGGCGAAGGCGGCUGACUGGACUGUAACUGACGUUGAGGCACGAAAGCGUGGGGAGCAAACAGGAUUAGAUACCCGAGUAGUC